GACGAACGCUGGCGGCGUGCUUAACACAUGCAAGUCGAACGCUGAAGACCUGGCUUUUGUUGGGUUGGAUGAGUGGCGAACGGGUGAGUAACACGUGAGUAACCUGCCCUCUUCUUUGGGAUAACGCCCGGAAACGGGUGCUAAUAUUGGAUAUUCACUGAUCUUCGCAUGGGGGUUGGUGGAAAGGUUUGUUCUGGUGGGGGAUGGGCUCGCGGCCUAUCAGCUUGUUGGUGGGGUGAUGGCCUACCAAGGCUUUGACGGGUAGCCGGCCUGAGAGGGUGACCGGGCACAUGGGGACUGAGACACGGCCCAGACUCCUGCGGGAGGCAGGAGUGGGGAAUAUUGGACAAUGGGCGAAAGCCUGAUGCAGCGACGCCGCGUGAGGGAUGGAGGCCUGCGGGGUGUAAACCUCUUGCGCGCAUGGUCAAGCCGCAACUGUGGGUUGUGGUGAGGGUAGUGGGUAAAGAAGCGCCGGCUAACUACGUG
rnacentral:rRNA from 1 species